UACAGGGGGUGCAAACGUUGCUCGGAAUUAUUGGGCGUAAAGCGCGCGUAGGCGGCUACUUAAGUCGGAUGUGAAAGCCCUUGGCUCAACUGAGGAAGUGCACCCGAAACUGAGUGGCUAGAGUACGAAAGAGGGUCGCGGAAUUCCCGGUGUAGAGGUGAAAUUCGUAGAUAUCGGGAGGAACACCGGUGGCGAAGGCGGCGACCUGGGUCGAUACUGACGUGAUGCGCGAAAGCGUGGGGAGCAAACAGGAUUG
rnacentral:rRNA from 1 species